rnacentral:lncRNA from 1 species
CAAAAACCAAACAAAAGGAAACACAGCAGGACUUGUUAAAGAGACUUAUUCUGCUUUUUCUUUUGUGAUGGGAUUUCAUGAUAUAGACCAUGCUGGUCUGUAAUCUACAGUCAUCUUGCCACAGGCUCCAGAUGCUAGGACUACAGAGCCUAAAAUCAGCCAGAUGAUCCAGGAAACUCUGGGAGUCCUGAUUCGCUUCCAAAGGCAAUUUGUUCUUCAUUGCCUGCUGCAUGGAUUGCUGUUUCAAUUAAGGUUUUCCAUGUUUCACAUAAAAGCAUGCACAGAGACUUAAAGAAUCAAUUUCAGUAUCACGGGUUUAUACACACAAAUCACCUUGCUUUCCCUGGUUCUCUUUCUUUCUUCUCUCCCUGGCUCCACCCUAUCCCCCAAUUCCAUUAAUAUUCAUUUUAAAAUAAAACACUUUGAUGUGUAUGUUGG